CUUUUCAUGGCAAAUGUUUUCUAAGGUUCCCAGUGUCAUAAAUAGUAUCCAUUAGCAUCAUCCCUUUGGUUCCCUUAGCAACUGAUACAAUCAAUUCAAUGAUAGUUUCAUCGGCACAGAAAAGCAUCAGCUACCAGAGUUAUGGACAAAAAGCAGGCCCAAAGAGUCCAAGUUGUCCUCAGCAACUACUUUCACAAGCUGAGGAUUUGGAGAUUUGAGGGGCUGCAUGCUGCCAGCAUCACUCCAGGAAGAAAAGCCUGGUACUGGACCCUCCACAGAAUGUGGCAGCAGAGUAAAUAGUUGGGAGGCACCUGCUCACUCCUUUUGCAUCCCGGCUCCACUGAGGAUGGGUAUGUCCUCUCAUCCCUCUGUUC
rnacentral:lncRNA from 1 species